rnacentral:lncRNA from 1 species
CCUGUGCGAAGCGCCGGCAGUUUAACGCAACGAGCGGCAAAUAGGAUAUUCCCGUCCGAGAAACGCAGAAUCGCACCCAGCGACUAAACACGAAUCUUAACACCGUGGACGCCGCCCGCAUGCGCCGCCGUCCCAAGCCCAUUGGCGCGGCAGGCGGAAGCGCGCCGGGGAACGGCGCGACACCACCAUGCUGUCCGGCUCCGACCAUCUCUGCCUCUCGCCAUGUCCGAGCUCCGCCCCGACCAGGACUCUGGCGAGCCCUCGAGCUGCUCUGCCUGCCUCUACGCAGGACGGCAUGAGGCCUUCCUCCGCUGCCCGGUCGCCUCCCGCUAUGGGUUGUCGCUUCUAUUCGAGCUCCAACAGGGAGCCAUGGCGAAGGAGCUGUCGUUGGCGUGCGCAGCCGGAGCAGUUACCGCUGAAGUUUCACUCCCGCCACAUACGAGGUUCUUCUAGGCCCUGUACAUUGACAUUUGCUUCCGGAGAAAAAAAAGUGCCUCCAUGUGAGCGGCAGAGUGAGCGGCAGAGAUUCUUCACGUGAGCAGCUACCAGCUCUGUCAUCAACAGGACAUCAUAGUAGGCAAAUGAAAUCUUUUAUGUCUAGCCACUUGACUAUUCAUCUAGAUCCCUGUACAUAGCUUCCCACUGCGGACACACAAUAUAAACAAAAGUCAGUAUGCUAUCCUGAUUAUAUAGCAGAAGAGAGUUAGUGCAUGUGCAUGUAUCAAAAAUAAAUUCAUCUCAUGGUUGCCAAAAGAAGAUUGUUAAUUAGUCAAAUUCAGUAACGAAUCUCUCCGUCCAGAAGGGGUCAUUCAUGCAGUUUUCUUUGGAGUUGGUUGUGGCUUUAGUAAAAAAGAAUUUAGAUAUAAAUCCUGUAGGGACUAGCGAAUGAGAAACUGAGCUAACAAUCAUCAAGAAUCGGAACAGCAGCAAGGGAAGCCUCUCCAUGUGGCAGGCGCAGAUGCACAAAUCAAGCUAGUACCUCAAAACGCAACACCAAAUCAACCUCGCUCCGGCAGAGCUCCGGCAGCGACCUCGCUCUCCACAUCCUUCUCGUUUUUCCUACCCACACCCGGCAGCAGCCAGCAGUCAGAUCCUUGCACGAAGAACGGUCGAGCGAAUCAACGAACCUCAGUUACUCACCUCUGCUAGAAGACGGAUCCUGCUCCCCUAUGCACACGGCUCGUCGAGAACCAACUGGGCCAGGUCCUUUACCCCCGGCGUGACCCCGCGCGACUCCUCCCCGACACCGGCUGCAUCCUCGAGAAACGCCUGGACCCCCGCCCGAAGGACUCCCGCGGCUGCGCCACCGGCGAAGCAGCGCCGGGCAGCUUGAGGAAGAAGCCGUGCCAUGGGAGCACCGGAGGAAGGGGCGGCGCUGUGCUUUGGAAUCGGAGCUGUCGCCGGCGUGAUUUGGGGAUUACCGUGUGUGGUCAGGAUAUAGAGGAUGAGAGAAUAGCGCGAGGAGGAGGGAGCUGAGCAUGUGAGCGUUAUUUUAGUGGAGGGAGCUGAGGCAUGCGAGCGUUAUUUUAGUUGCGUAGCAUUCCGCAUUGGAGAGAACGGGUGCCAGCCAGGUGCUACGCCUACGUCAAAC